rnacentral:rRNA from 1 species
AAACAGGUCAAUAUUCCUGUACCGCUCUAUGAUGCGAUGGGGGGACGGAGAAGGUUAGCUCGGCCAUCUGUUGGAAUAGGUGGUUUAAGCGUGUAGUCGUGCCGCGUAGGCAAAUCCGCGUGGCUUAGAUGAGGCGUGAUGACGAGGAUCCUCGGAUCCGAAGUGAGUGAUACCCAGCUUCCAGGAAAAGCCUCUAAGCUUCAGUCAUAGAGUGACCGUACCGCAAACCGACACAGGUGGGCUGGUAGAGAAUACCAAGGCGCUUGAGAGAACUCAGGAGAAGGAACUCGGCAAAUUGAUACCGUAACUUCGGGAGAAGGUAUGCCCCUGGUACGUGAAGGCCCUCGCGGCCGGAGCGGAACGGGGUCGCAGAGAAUCGGUGGCUGCGACUGUUAAUUAAAAACACAGCACUCUGCAAACACGAAAGUGGACGUAUAGGGUGUGACGCCUGCCCGGUGCCGGAAGGUUAAGUGAUGGGGUGCAAGCUCUUGAUCGAAGCCCCGGUAAACGGCGGCCGUAACAAUAACGGUCCUAAGGUGGCGAAAUUCCUUGUCGGGUAAGUUCCGACCUGCACGAAUGGCGUAACGAUGGCCACACUGUCUCCUCCUGAGACUCAGCGAAGUUGAAAUGUUUGUGAAGAUGCAAUCUCCCCGCGGCUAGACGGAAAGACCCCAUGAACCUUUACUGUAGCUUUGCAUUGGACUUUGACGGGACUUGUGUAGGAUAGGUGGGAGGCUAUGAAACCGGGACGCCAGUUCCGGCGGAGCCACCCUUGAAAUACCACCCUGGUGUCGUCGAGGUUCUAACCCAGGCCUGUGAAUCCAGGUCGGGGACCGUGCAUGGUGGGCAGUUUGACUGGGGCGGUCUCCUCCCAAAAGGUAACGGAGGAGUACGAAGGUCACCUAGGUACGGUCGGACAUCGUACUGAUAGUGCAAUGGCAAAAGGUGGCUUGACUGCGAGACCCACAAGUCGUGCAGGUGCGAAAGCAGGUCAUAGUGAUCCGGUGGUUCUGUAUGGAAGGGCCAUCGCUCAACGGAUAAAAGGUACUCUGGGGAUAACAGGCUGAUUCCGCCCAAGAGUUCACAUCGACGGCGGAGUUUGGCACCUCGAUGUCGGCUCAUCACAUCCUGGGGCUGUAGCCGGUCCCAAGGGUAUGGCUGUUCGCCAUUUAAAGUGGUACGUGAGCUGGGUUUAAAACGUCGUGAGACAGUUUGGUCCCUAUCUGCCGUGGGCGCUGGAAGUUUGAGAGGGCCUGCUCCUAGUACGAGAGGACCGGAGUGGACGCACCCCUGGUGUACCGGUUGUGACGCCAGUCGCAUCGCCGGGUAGCUAUGUGCGGAAGAGAUAACCGCUGAAAGCAUCUAAGCGGGAAACUCGCCUCAAGAUGAGACUUCCCCGGGGCCUCGAGCCCCCUGAAGGGUCGUUGAAGACCACAACGUUGAUAGGCCGGGUGUGUAAGCGUGGCAACACGUUCAGCUAACCGGUACUAAUUGCCCGUGUGGCUUGAUCCU